GGGGGUGUCACGGCUUCGACGGGAUAUUACCUCUUAAUAAAGGCAGUGGGGUCUGCCCCUUACAGCUCGAGGUCUCAAUAAAUGCAGACGAAAAUCAACAAGAAGUAAACUCAUUUGACAUGAACUUACUUCAAAACAACAAUUUAUUAGCUCUUUCUUGCUAAUUAAUUAGUUAUAUUUUUUUAAAAAAGUACUAGUUUUUAUCUGAAGCUUUUUACAACUAGCACUUUGCUAACUUUAAACAGUUUAUAGAUUUUCUUUAAAAAAUCUCUUCUUUAAGUUAAUAAUUUAGCUUAUAUUUAGUUAACUGGUAGAAGUAAAUCAUAAAAAAUUAAGCUAAACUGUAGAUUUUAUUAAGCUAGGUAUAUUGCGGAAAGGGGUUCGACUCCCCUCACCUCCACCA
rnacentral:tmRNA from 1 species